UACGUAGGGUGCAAGCGUUGUCCGGAAUUAUUGGGCGUAAAGAGCUCGUAGGCGGUCUGUCACGUCGGCUGUGAAAACCCGAGGCUCAACCUCGGGCCUGCAGUGGGUACGGGCAGACUAGAGUGCGGUAGGGGAGAUUGGAAUUCCUGGUGUAGCGGUGGAAUGCGCAGAUAUCAGGAGGAACACCGAUGGCGAAGGCAGGUCACUGGGCCGCAACUGACGCUGAGGAGCGAAAGCAUGGGGAGCGAACAGG
rnacentral:rRNA from 1 species